UCCCAAGAUGCAGCCUAAAACACGAAGCUUGUGUGGAAAAAAAAGUUGAAAACGUUUCACCGUCGAAAACACUUCUGCAAGCUCUAAACCUGAUCGUAUUCUUCAUCCAAUUCUGCUCGUGUCUCGAUAUCAUCAUCGCCGCGAUUUUGAAAUGGGAGUGCGUCCAUGGACUUGGCUUCUCCGUAUUAUCAUAAGAGAUCGCGUUCAUCGGUAGCAUCGCGCUUCAGACAUCGUCGCGCAUCUCCGGCGCCGCGUCUACGUUUCAAACUCAGUCUCCACACGCGGCGUACCGUUCGUCAACGAAGGAUAAUGCUCAUCAAAUCACGUUUCUCAAUCUUUAUCACCUGCUUCUCAUAGUGUCCGGCCUUCGACUUCGCGCUUAGCCUCACCGUAUGGUUGGAUUCUCAACUCAAAUCAGUUUAUGCGUGCCGAUACGAUGAACUACGAAUCCAAGAGAAUGAAGGAGAACUCACCAGAUUACUUCCGAUUUGAACCAGUACAUACUCCUAUUCUCUGAUUCAGAUCCGUUCCGUCUUCUCUUCUACGACAAAUUUGAGUCCUGCGCGUGGAGUUCCAAUUUGGAAGCUGAACACUAAUCCUUGUGAGUGCCGCAUCCAGGAUGUAGACUCUGUUGCGAGCGAGAGUGGGGAAUUUAAAAGGUGCGGAUUGAACGUCUUUGACGACGACGAUUUUGCAGGAGGAGUGGAAAACCAGUUGCAGAGUUGAAGAAAUCUGAUGCAGAACCAAGGGAUUUUGCAGAAAAUCGAGGGAGCAGGUUCAAGAAGGUUUGAUGCUGAAGGAGCAGUUAUGUUGCAGAAACGGGGGAUAUUGAAGGUGAAGGUGAAGAAGAAAGAGGAAUUGAAGAUUGAAGGUGAAUCAUUGAAGAAGUGAUGAAGAGUAUUAUUUAUAUCUUUCCUAAAAUCGGUUAGAAAUUCCAACUCAAAUUCAUCUGAAAUUCAACUUAAAUUCAGAGUUGGUUAGUAAAUUCACAAAUCAGUUAUUGUGUUAGUGAUUCUAUGUGUGCUAAGCUAAGUUAAUUACGGUGGAGCUUCAUGUUUGUAUUCAAAAUUCUGCAGGUUGUAUGGUUCCAAAUUUCUGUCAAAUUUCAUUAGCAGCUAGUUGGCUUGGCUUGCGUUUCUGUCUUCUAUUUCUGUGGUGUUUUGUAUUGCUUCGUUCCCAAUUCACGUGCAUCCUGGAGUUUUUUUAUUGUGACGGACAUGGGCCUGGACCUAAAAAUGGUGACCCAAUAUACAAGUGGACUAUGGCUUCCUUUUUUCUUUAAAAGUGGAUAAUGGAUAUGGGUUUAAUUUGGAUAUGGUUUACAAAUGGGUCAAUUGAUUAUGGACAUGAGAUUGGAAUGUAUUACCAAUUUAUUCUAACA